CCGAUAGUGAACCAGUACCGUGAGGGAAAGGCGAAAAGAACCCCUGUGAGGGGAGUGAAAUAGAACCUGAAACCGUGUACGUACAAGCAGUAGGAGCACCUUCGUGGUGUGACUGCGUACCUUUUGUAUAAUGGGUCAGCGACUUAUAUUCAGUGGCAAGGUUAACCAUCUAGGGGAGCCGUAGGGAAACCGAGUCUUAACUGGG
rnacentral:rRNA from 2 species